rnacentral:misc_RNA from 1 species
UUAUAUAUCUGGUAAAUUAACUUGUUCAUAUUAUCAGAUAUAAACAUAUGAUAUUAUUAUGUAUCAGUCAUUUCAAUGUACUUGUAUCUGUAAUUCCAGAAGUAAAUGUGUAACCAGUCACUGGUUCUGAUUGUAGUGAAGCUCACUCAGGUCAGGAGUGUGAUUCUGCAUCAGUUCUUUCUUUGACAUUAUUUUAUCUUCACCCUCUUAAUUAUGUCUCUAUCCUCAGAAAAAUUAUACUAUAUAUAUAGAGCAUUUCUUGCCAAUGUGGUAGAAAAUCUGAUCUAACCAUUCUUUUGUCAUCUCCUGUACCAAGAAGAAUGGGGAAACUUUAAGGAAGAAGUGUUCUCAACAACAUUUUUUUUCUUCCUGUUUUUGGAGAGGGGGAUAUUUAGUUGUAAUUGUGUCUUUUUGUUGUACAUGUUGUGUAAUUGCAAGAUCAUAAUGCACCUCGUAAAAAAUUAGUUCUCACUCUCUCACUUCAUGAAUGGAUACAUCAUUUUGUUUUCUUUCUAGUCGCAUAUGCAAUGGGCAAUGUUUACUGUACAUAUCUGCAAGAAACAGUGCUUUUGUUUUUCAUUAAUCUGUGAUAUUAAAUAGAAAGAACUGGCUUUUUUCCUUAUAAUUUGAUAGAAUGUUACACAAUGAUAAAUGUGUAUAUAGCAGGGUAUAAUUCAGAUUUUUCUGUCUGUCUAGGACUUUCUCUCUCUCUCUCUCUCCUCACAUUUUAUAGGGUGUUCCAUUCAUAAACAUAUAAAGUAGUUCAUAUAAAUAUUAAGUAGCUCAAUGGUAUAAAUAUGGAUGUCUUCACUCUUGGCAUGAUGAUAUGAAGGUUAUGUGGGGGUUUGAAUAUUUAAAUGCAAACUGUUAAUAUGUGGGAAUUGAAUAUUAAAUUCUGUCCAAAAUUUAGAUUAAUUUGCAUUGCACAGAACUAUGCCCAUUUAUGUAAAUAUAUUAUAUUUAAGAACAAUAAUUUUUUUUCAAAGUACAUGUAUUUUGUUAUCAUUACAAUAAAACCCAGACUGCCAGAAACUGCAUUUGAUGAAAUAAAGUACAUGUAUUACACAGUCAUAGUAUUCAAUAAAGGAACAUGUUUCUGAAUUGUUAUCUAAGAAACUAUGGUCACAUAGCAGAGUACCUACUGGUAGCCAUCAUAAUUCCAUUAUAUUUUCAGAAAACAGAUAUUUCUUUUACAUAUUUGGUAUGUACAUGUACAUAUUUAUGCCAAUGGCCAUUUACCAUUAGGAAUAUAUGUAUAUCUUUGUUAUUAUGUUGAAAGUUUUAUGGAAUGUGCACUUGAUAAAUUGUAUAUCACAGAAAAUGUUUCAUUCCUUCUCAAUGUUUUUUUAACAUCAAUACAUGUAUAUCAUUAUAUAUGUAAUAGCUGUUGGAAUUUGCAAAUUGAAAUAAAAUCACCAAAGUUU